rnacentral:rRNA from 1 species
GAAACCUUUACACUGCACGCCAGUGCGAUAAGGGGAUCCCAAGUGCGUAGGCAUAGAGCCUACGCUUUUGUCCACCCUAGGGUGGUGGACGAAUAAGGGCUGGGCAAGACCGGUGCCAGCCGCCGCGGUAAUACCGGCAGCCCGAGUGAUGGCCGAUCUUAUUGGGCCUAAAGCGUCCGUAGCUGGCCGCACAAGUCCAUCGGGAAAUCCACCUGCUCAACAGGUGGGCGUCCGGUGGAAACUGUGUGGCUUGGGACCGGAAGGCGCGACGGGUACGUCCGGGGUAGGAGUGAAAUCCUGUAAUCCUGGACGGACCGCCGAUGGCGAAAGCACGUCGCGAAAACGGAUCCGACAGUGAGGGACGAAAGCUAGGGUCUCGAACCGGAUUAGAUACCCGGGUAGUCCUAGC